rnacentral:rRNA from 1 species
UACAGAGGUCUCAAGCGUUGUUCGGAUUCAUUGGGCGUAAAGGGUGCGUAGGUGGCGCGCUAAGUCAGGUGUGAAAUUUCGGAGCUUAACUCCGAAACUGCAUUUGAUACUGGCGUGCUUGAGGACUGGAGAGGAGACUGGAAUUCACGGUGUAGCAGUGAAAUGCGUAGAUAUCGAGAGGAACACCGGUGGCGAAGGCGGCCUUCUGGACAGUGACUGACGCUGAGACGCGAAAGCGUGGGGAGCAAACAGG